GGAUAUAUUCUGCAUACUGAGAGUUAUAAAAAUAAUUAUGAAUUUUCACUUUUAUAUGCUCGAGUAAUUUAGAGAUAUGUGAAUAUUCAUAAAUGACAAUGUAUGCAUAUGAUAACCAAAACAUAAUUCAAGUGAAUAUACAAAACUUUAAAUUUACUAUUUCUAAGUUUCUUUUAAAAAUUAUUUUUUGUCCGAUAUAAGUUUGCUCAAA
rnacentral:lncRNA from 1 species